CAUAUACUUCUUACAUACAUACGUCCGUACACCGUACGCAUUCUGCUGAUUUUUUGUGGGAUAUAGAUGUUGUUGAAUACGAAUGUCGGUGUGCGUCAUCAGUCGUUCUCGCUAUUCAUUAUUAUCAAUAGGUAGCAGUAAAUACGUAUGGUCACUAAAGUUACUUUUGCUACUUAGCAGCCAUUGACUGGCAAUUAAUGAUCCACAGUAUGUAUGAUGACACAGUGAAUGCAGAAAUCCAUAAAAUAGUG
rnacentral:sRNA from 1 species